AGGUACAACAGAGACAGCUGUUUGUCCCCCAGUAUCCUUCAGACAAAGCCAUAUAUGAUUGAAGGUUAUCAGUACUGUGCUUUUGGAGGAUUCAGAAGAAGUUAUAUCUGAUUGGGAGAUUGAAAAGGAUUGGCCUGAAGGAGAGGUGGUUUUUGAACUGCAUCUUAAAGGAUGAGGAAACUGAGGCUGAGAGGGUAGAGAACUUUGCCUGAGGUCACUCAGCAGGGACCCACCCAUCACAGUAAAUGCCAGCACUGCUGAUGCCAAAACAAUGUUAUUUGUGCCUGAACACCCUGUCCUACCUGGUCCUACCUGGAUGCUGGCCUCAGUAAGCUCCUGGGCUCAUUGAAGAUGAACCUAGCAGUAGUAUUUACACCACUUGUUGUGUGCCCACUGUGGGCCCGGCGCCAUGCCGAGUGCUCUAUGGAUGUGAGAUGAGAACACUGAAGCAGUUUUUUCUAAAGAUAGCUGCCUGGCACAGUGGCUCACAUCUGUAGUCCCAGCAUUUGGGGAGGCCAAGGCAGGUGGAUCACUUGAGGCCAGGAAUUCAAGACCAGCAUGGCCAACAUGUUUUCCAUCCUUCCUUCAGUGCUGGGAGAGAAAAGCAUACGACAUAGACAGGGAGGUCAAGCUCCACCACGCAGAUGAGGUGCAGGCCACCAGUCUUCCUCUGCCACAUCUCUUUCUGAAAAGGACUUCACAUUCACCCUUGCAAUCCAUGUGGGGACACUGUUGGAUAGGAGGCGUGGUCCCAGCGUGGUCUCCCUGUCUGGGCCUCUGCCUAUGCCAAAUGUUUGCCUUACGCUGCACACUCAAGAGGUUCCAUGUAUACAGAUGGGAAUUCCAGAGCUACAGAAAAGGCAGCAAGCACCAUGAUUUAAGCUAACCAGUGUGGAUUCACACCUUCCUCUCUCUCUAUCAGUGGCAGAACUACCAGCUAGAGUAAGAAGUGGUUGAUCCAGGACCUAAACAUUCUGGAAACUCUUGCCCACUUCUGGGAGAAAUGACCCAAUCCAUAGUACUAAGCACACCUUAACUUUCGUAGGACGCAGGCAAGUUGUCAUACCGUGUGCCUAAAUAUAGAAAAAUGAUCCACUGGACUAAUAAAGUGUUAAAUAAAAUA
rnacentral:lncRNA from 1 species